UACGGGGGGCGAGCGUUGUUCGGAAUUACUGGGCGUAAAGGCUCGUAGGCGGCCAACUAAGUCGGAUGUGAAAUCCCCAGGCUUAACCUGGAACUGCAUCCGAUACUGGAUGGCUUGAAUCCGGGAGAGGGAUGCAGAAUUCCAGGUGUAGCGGUGAAAUGCGUAGAUAUCUGGAGGAAUACCGGUGGCGAAGGCGGCAUCCUGGACCGGCAUUGACGCUGAGGAGCGAAAGCUA
rnacentral:rRNA from 1 species